rnacentral:rRNA from 2 species
ACUAACAAGGAUUCCCCUAGUAACUGCGAGUGAAGAGGGAAAAGCUCAAAUUUAAAAUCUGGCAGUCUUUGGCUGUCCGAGUUGUAAUCUAGAGAAGUAUUAUCCGCGCUGGACCGUGUACAAGUCUCCUGGAAUGGAGCGUCAUAGAGGGUGAGAAUCCCGUCUUUGACACGGACUGCCAGGGCUUUGUGAUGUGCUCUCGAAGAGUCGAGUUGUUUGGGAAUGCAGCUCAAAAUGGGUGGUAAAUUCCAUCUAAAGCUAAAUAUUGGCGAGAGACCGAUAGCGAACAAGUACCGUGAGGGAAAGAUGAAAAGAACUUUGGAAAGAGAGUUAAACAGUACGUGAAAUUGCUGAAAGGGAAACGCUUGAAGUCAGUCGCGUUGGCCAGGGAUCAACCUUGCUUUUUUGCUUGGCUUACUUUCUGGUUGAUGGGUCAGCAUCAAUUUUGACUGGUGGAAAAAGUUCAAGGGAAUGUGGCAUCUUCGGAUGUGUUAUAGCCUUUGUUCACAUAUAUCAGUUGGGAUUGAGGAACUCAGCACGCCGCAAGGCCGGGUUUUUAACCACGUACGUGCUUAGGAUGCUGGCAUAAUGGCUUUAAUCGACCCGUCUUGAAACACGGACCAAGGAGUCUAACAUGCCUGCGAGUGUUUGGGUGAAAAACCCGAGCGCGUAAUGAAAGUGAAAGUUGAGAUCCCUGUCAUGGGGAGCAUUGACGCCCGGAUCUGACCUUUUGUGACGAUUCUGCGGUAGAGCAUGUAUGUUGGGACCCGAAAGAUGGUGAACUAUGCCUGAAUAGGGUGAAGCCAGAGGAAACUCUGGUGGAGGCUCGUAGCGAUUCUGACGUGCAAAUCGAUCGUCAAAUUUGGGUAUAGGGGCGAAAGACUAAUCGAACCAU